rnacentral:rRNA from 1 species
CCUUACCCGCUGAACUUAAGCAUAUCACUAAGCGGAGGAAAAGAAACUAACUAGGAUUGUCUCAGUACCGGCGAGGGAAGCGGCAAGAGCCCAAAGUGGUAAUCUCCGGCCUGCGGUCGGCGAAUUGUAAUCUAAAGGUACGGAGCCUAAUUGGCUGAGGCGCAGAAGUGGUCACGAGAGACCCGCCAGAGAGGGUGAAAGCCCCGUAUGUGGUGCCUUGGCUUACCGGGCUGCGGGCCGAAGAGUCGAGUUGUUUUGUAUUGCAGCUCUAAGUGGGAGAUAAACUUCUCCUAAGGCUAAAUACGUGUGGGAAACCGAUAGCGAACAAGUACUGUGAAGGAAAGAUGAAAAGCACUUUGGAAAGAAAGUUAAAAGACUUGAAAUCGUUAAGGCGGAAGCGGUAGAAAUGAAUUGAAAACUAGACUCGGGGAAAUUUGCAAAUGUUGUAAAACUGAGCGGAUGACUUGAGGAUAGAAAGAAGACAAGAUGGGGUCGAACAAUGUCAAAAGCGGAUUAGAACUCGGGUUUACUCAUUCUAUUCUGGUUGGGUGUUGAACGGCUCGAGGACCUUAGGGGAUCUUGUCAAAAUGGUUUUUACCGACUCGUCUUGAAACACGAACCAAGGAGUCUAAGACUAACGCGAGUAUGGUGGUGGAAAAACCAACAUGCGAAAUGAAAGUAAAUGAUGCCAAGGAAACAGCAGCAUCGACCGACCAUGAUCAUUAGUGAAAGGUUUGAGUAAGAGCGUUAUUCUUAGGACCCGAAAGAUGGUGAACUAUGCCUGUUUAGGGUGAAGUCAGGGGAAACUCUGAUGGAAGCUCGUAGCGAUACUGACGUGCAAAUCGUUCGUCGAAAAUGGGUAUAGGGGCGAAAGACUAAUCGAACCAUCUAGUAGCUGGUUCCCUCCGAAGUUUCCCUCAGGA